GGCCAUGGACUAAAGCUCCUCCGGACCUUCCCUCGCGACUGUCGGCCCUCCUCCUGACCAGAUUGACGACGGCGAUGACCGGAUCUGCCCCGCCGCCAUUUGUUUUCACCUUCCCAGGCAGCCCUGCCGCCCCUCCCAGCCGCCUCUUUGGACACCGCUGAUGCACAAUCGAUUUGCCGCCGCUGUUCCUCGGCACAGCAGGGACCACCAGUGGUGCCACAUGUCCUCUUCAUCAUGAUAGGUACAGAACUGGAUAACCGAUUGGUGCUACUGCAGUUAAGAUCUUUUAUACGUCAUGUCGACAAUGGUGUUUGAUAAGAAACCCAAGCAGGCCACAUGUGAGUUGAAUCAACAUAAUCUAUAUGAUGUAGUGAAGGAUAGACUCCUCUCCCCAUGUUGUUUCUGGAUAUAUUCUUUUUCAGUGAAUUACUACAGAAGCAUUGAUUUAAGACUAUUCUUCGUCAUCUAAGAAAACUAAGAUUUAUUUUGGCCACGGGAUUUCUUUCAACAUAUCCUAUGAAUGUUUCCAUAGAAAGUUGCCCUCAGAUCAAACUUCUUUAUUUCUUCUACACAGGAAGGUGGUAGAAUAUGCAUCCUUCAAUGCAUAGGUUUGUGAUUUAUAUGCCCGGUGAGCCUCUUUCAUUUCAAUUCUUGAGAGUCCUAACAUUUCAUUUCUUUGAGCGUUUGAGUCCUAUUGUUCUGUAUUCCGAGCUCUUGAACAUUUUCCUGCACAAAAAUGAUCUAUAAUAAUUCUCUUCUAAGCCCAGAGAUAGUUGUACACAUCAUUUAUUCAAUCCUAAAUUAGGAGUAUGCUCUGAAUUACUCCUGUAGUGCAUUUUACAUCCCCCUUACAUCUAUGUCAUCUUACUCAUAUAAAUUUGCUUACUGUAUAUAUGCUUUCCCGUGCAAUCAUCCUUAACAAAUAUCACAUCCGUAACUACUUAUCAUGGUAUUUUCUAUUUUUUACGCUGCCACUUACUGGUCUUAUGACAUGGAGAGGAGAGGCCAAGGAGUAGAAAGCAUCCAGCUGUGUCUUGCAAACAAGCUAAGGUUGCAUAAUGUCACUGAUUGUGCAAAACCAGAAAAACAAAUCGCAUCACUGCAUGUUUAUAUGAGUGUUCACUGCU
rnacentral:lncRNA from 1 species